AUCCUGUCCGCCACUGCUGUUUCUGUUUCUGUUCUACGUUCGCAGCAGCUAGCUUAGCUACCUACCAACCUAGCUAUCUGCCAUAAUCAAUUAUAAGCCUGCAUACAACAGCAUUAAUUAUGAUUUGGCUCUAUUAAAUUAAUCACCCACAACCAACCAAUUACCCAGCCCCCACGCUCAUCUCGAUCUCCAUCCAUCCAUCGCCACCCGCACUGACGCUUUUAAUGGCGAUCGUAGUGGGGAUUGUUGACGGUGUGAGCCAGUGUGUCUCUACGCUUUGGAGUCUGCAGGAAAUGCGAUUCGAGGCCAUUUUUGACGGUGUGAGCUCGCUUGCGGUGACUCUGAUCAUGUCAGUUAUGUCCUGUUUUAUAGCAUUUAGGAGACGCUAGCUCUGUAGCUAGCUAGCUGAAUGCUGAUCGAUGACUCUUUGUGAUUGUUAUCGUUAAUUGCAGCCGUCGUCUUUAAUUUGUUGUUGAAUGUAUUCUCUUUUCUUGAAUUCUUUCAAAUUAAACUGCAAAUCAUUUGAAGGGCCAAA